GAUUGGGGCCAAGCCAUGCUACUGCUUCCCCAUAGGAGUUCCAGCAUAAGCGGCAGGCUGAAGAGUCCGUGCCCCCUCCAGGAUUCCAGCUCCGCCAGCCCCGGCACUCUCCUCUCCUUUUGCCAUAGAGUCUGCAGACCGCCAAGUGCAUCAUCAGGCAUUUACUAAGCACAGACUAAAUUGUCCAGAGUGCUAGUGAAUUUGGAUUCUGAAGACCUAAGUCUGUUCUAUUUCUAUCUAACAUCUUAACAGUCUUGGGACCAUAAGCAGAUAUCCUUCCUCCCUUCUGCUGAUUGAGAAGAUACUUUUUGCCUCUAGUUCUCAGAGUUGAAGACUUAGUGAGUCACACCCAAUCACGACAAUAGGUUCAGCUGUCUAAUGGAAAAGAAGAUUCAAGUUUUGCCUAUGGAAGUCUAUGGAAUUAUUUAUAAAAUAACUCAGCAUGUCCCCAGCUGCCAACUGGGAAGCAGUUUGAAUUUGUGUAGUCAAAUAUCUAGAAAACUCCCGGCUCUGGACAUGACCAAAGUUCCCACAGGAAAUAUACAUUCCUGUUUUGACCACAAGUGUCAUAUGUGAAGAGAAGCAGAAUCAAAAUAAAAGAACGAUUUAAAA